rfam:Daphnia pulex DAPPTscaffold_4471_Cont15755, whole genome shotgun sequence.
GCGAUGGUGUAGUGGUUAGCAUAGUUGCCUUCCAAGCAAUUUACCCGAGUUAGAUUCUCGGCCAUCGCA